rnacentral:ncRNA from 1 species
GGGGAAGUAUGGUUGCAAAGCUGAAACUUAAAGGAAUUGACGGAAGGGCACCACCAGGAGUGGAGCCUGCGGCUUAAUUUGACUCAACACGGGAAAACUCACCCGGCCCGGACACUGGAAGGAUUGACAGAUUGACAGCUCUUUCUUGAUUCAGUGGGUAGUGGUGCAUGGCCGUUCUUAGUUGGUGGAGCGAUUUGUCUGGUUAAUUCCGAUAACGAACGAGACUCUACCCUAUUAAAUAGUGACAGUAUUGUAUUUUUUGUGCUGAUCACUUCUUAGAGGGACUGGCAAAUUGAAAGCUGCACGAAAAAGAGCAAUAACAGGUCUGUGAUGCCCUUCGAUGUCCGGGGCUGCACGCGCGCUACAAUGAAAGCGUCAACGUGAGUUACGUCCUUACCUGAAAAGGUUUGGCAAUCGAAUGAAACGUUUUCUUGAAUGGAAUAGGGAAUUGCAAUUGUUUCCCUUGAACGAGGAAUUCCCAGUAAGCGUGAGUCAUUAGCUCGCGUUGAUUACGUCCCUGCCCUUUGUACACACCGCCCGUCGCUACUACCGAUUGGAUGAUUUAGUGAGGUGUUUUGACUGGCGCCAGUAGUCGGAUAUGUAUUCGGCUUCGCGCCGGGAAAUUUCCCAAACCAAAUCAUCUAGAGGAAGUAAAAGUCGUAACAAGGUUUCCCGUAGGUGAACCUGCGGGAA